AUGGAGGGGUGUAGUGAGCCACAGCUGGAUGCUAAGGCCAAGGUCACCAACCAGCUCAUAGAUUUUCAGUGGAAGCUGGGUAUGGCUGUGAGCUCAGACAGCUGCAGAUCACUUAAGUAUCCUUAUGUUGCAGUGAUGCUCAAAGUGGCAGAUCAUUCAGGCCAAGUAAAGAACAAGUCCUUUGAAAUGACAAUUCCACAGUUUCAGAAUUUCUAGACAGUUCAAGGAAACUGCUGCAAUUAUUGAAACUGUGUGAAAACUGAUUACUUGGUUGAUGAAUUGCUACCAUCAUUCUAAAAUCAUGGACUUUACUUUCUGCAACAAAACUGCCUAAGGAUCAAAUGAUAUUUAUUGAAUGAAAAUUACACUUUUGGUUUUCCAUUUUUUUAAAUAAUAAAAAAGAAAAUCAGACAAACAGGAA